rnacentral:lncRNA from 1 species
CCCCUCAUGUGGUAGUUUAGCGUGAAGUGGACUCUAAAGUUAUACCUUGGGAGUUACCCUACUCGCCUCUCCAAUUGAGGUAAAAUAUAUCAAGAUUCCGUACCCCUCUAAUAGGCUAGUCCACAGAACCCAGUCCACUGUAGCAAGCAAUACACACCAUACAAUAAAAUUUUGACAGCAUGACGUGACUAAAAUUAUACUAUCCAGCCUGUAAAUGUAAAACAGAAUAAUUCAUACAAUUCACCAAAAAUGCAACCCAGCCAAUCAUGCCAACACAUUAACAUAAGCCAUCAAUUCAAAUCAUAAAUUUACAACACAUCAGAAGUUUCCAAUUACUCUAUUUUCAAAAUCAUUAUUCAAUUUCAAGACAGUUUAUAAAAUCUUUUCAUUUAAACACAUUUUGUUUAUAAACAUAAAGGUUUACCAUUUAAACCCAUUUUUCAUAAAAUCAUAAAAUCGGAUAAAAACCACUUUAGAUAAUUAAGACGAUAGUAAGGUUACUCACAGUUCUAAGAGUCAAUGUACUCCUAAUCCCAGUCUUUAAGUACAAUCUUUGUACUUUUACCAGUGUAAUUUGCUCACCACCUAUCCACAAUGUACAAUACAUAAUUCACCACAUUAAUGCUUGACCAUUAUAAAAUCAAUUCAGGCUCGGUGUAUAUGCAUAAUAUGAUAUGCAACUUAUCUGACUACCGCUUAAAUGCGGUGUUGACCUAAUUCGGCCUAUUACCUGAUUCGGCUUAUCCGAUUACCAAAUUGCUCCAUUUCAUUUCUAAUAUUUCAAUUCACUAAAUACAAUUCCAGUAAUCUAAAAUUCAGCCUAACAACCCUCACAACUCUUCUUGAAAAUUCCUGCCAUUGUGGUACACUAUCACUAAAAAUUUUCCCAUUCCAUUUUCUCACCAUAAAUCAUCAUUUCAUCCAUUUUUCAACCAAUUCACUUGAUCACAAAAUCAAUUCAUUACUUCUACACUUCACAUAGGGUUCGGCCAUUGAAGGUUCAUGGGGAAAAUGGAUUAUUUUCUUGUUGUUUUAUUUCUAAACAUACUUAACUAACUCUAAACACCAACAUAACUCAAAAUCAAAUCAAUCUAACAUCAUUCUCUCUCCAUACCCAUUCCGACCAGCCAUGAAUUCAUCAUGAAAAUAUGCAAUUUAACCAUGAAAAAUGAGGAGAAAUGCAUGGGAAAGAAAGAUGUCAAGUUUAAUUGGAAAAUUUUACCUUUUUUUCACUUCUUUCCUUGAAUUUUCACACUUUUUCCUUGAAUUUUUCCACCUAGGGUUUGUUCUCUUCCUUUUCUUCUUUUGUUCUUCUUUGGUCUUGGUUUGGCCAGCCAUAUGAAAGAAAA